CCUUAUGUCAGAUGUUUGACUUUUUUAUGAUUAAAUACGGUUGAGAGUAGGCUUCUGAGUUUAAUCCAAUAAAGACUCAUAUAUCAGCCUGUAACAAUACAAACCACGCCCCUUAAAGUUUCUGUUGUCCCCACCCACUUGGUUUAACUGUAAUAAACUUUGAGCUACUCAGAUGAAAAUCGUACAGCACACCGACACUACUUGAUCACAGCCACCCUGCAGCUUACACCCCUAACCCACUGAGCCCCUACCAAGGGAGGAAUGAGCACAAAGGAAAACUGGCAAUAAAUUGGAAUGAUGAUAUGAAUCCUUCAGACGACUAAAACGUGACACCAAUUGUUUCUGCGACAGGAGAUAUAACUUAAUUCCCUGCGUUCCAUCAAGGUUGUGGCUGUGCUGGUGCAAGUCAAUAUAAAGAAUGGAUUACCUGAUGAACAACAGAGGUCUCAGCCUGCUUCUGAAUUUUCUUCUAAUUGUCAUUGUGUUGUUACUAAUGUUUAUUAUUGUCAAACUCAUCUGAUCCUUUAUUUCUGCUAAGUUCACUGAAGAAAACUCACUGUGGUGAUUGCAGUUUUCAGAAGUAGAAAGGAGGACUUGAUCUCAAUCAUACUAUUCAUCUGAGAUGUGCAGAGCUCCACGUUUGACGAAAGCACUCACGUUCUACAAAGACUCUUGCAAUGAUUGCCAUUUUUAAAUGCGCAAGUCCUUUCCUGGAAGGACACAUCUAUUAAGAAAUAUUAAAGUUAAUAAAAAUGUGUUGUCUCUUCCAGGAACAUCCUCAAUAAGUUCCAAAACCAUAUAAAAUCAUUUUCUUUCUUAAUCCAUCAAAUAUUAAUAUAAUCAAAAUUUAUGGAUGUUAGCUGAUUGAUAAUCAAUAGGCUAUUGUGUCGGGACCAUUACCCCUUCAUUCAGAAGUGCAUUUCUGUCCAAACGUACUAUUGAACUAUGCCUUUGAUGAAGAACGAUUCUAAAAUAAUAGUUGAUAUGAAACAUUAUCGAGAUAUUUGUGCUCUUCAUUUCAGGAGCCCAAUAUUUAAACAAUCAAGAUCAGGGGAGGGGUGUGGAAAGCAACACUGUGUUAAUGAGUUUCUAAACUGAUUCAAAAGCCCUCUCCUUUAAUCUGCCCACAAUAUUUGGUUUCCGUUUCUCUAUUUCUUAGCUUGUGAAUCUUGAGGCAAAGCAGUAACUAACCCCUGUUCCAAUGUAACAGGGGUAGUUACAUAUGAGAAAUAAAUGCUGAAAAGCAUUAAUUAUUCACCGUCUUUGACUCUUCUAGAAAACCAAGGGACGAGCAGUAAAUGUUGGCCUUGCCAUCAAAGCCCAGAUACCAAAGAUUAAAGGUUGAUUUAUUCCAGAGUAGAUUUGUACCAGUUUCAAUUUUAAGUAACAUUUACCACAGAGCUGAUGCCUGGGGCCCUGGAUUCAAUAAAAGAUAAACCAAGUUGCAUUCAACACUCCUUUGUUCAAUAAGACAAACGCAGAAUAAUGGCAUUAAUUUUACAUUUGUGCUGUGCAUGUGGAGGAAGUAAAUACAAAGCAGUUUUGGGCAGAGAAUCAUGUUAGGUCAUUAGCACUAAAAAGGUGUAUACUGUAUCACAUAACAUUAAAUGAUUGGCAGACACUAUAUGGCCCAUUCAGGACCAGUAGUUAAAGAUAAACUUAAGUCAUCCCUCCCAACUGAUCUCCAUCUUGGUACUAAUCCCUGCAAGUGGGAUAAGCGAUAUACCUGUCCCUACACCUUCUCCCUCACUACCUUGCAGGGCCCUAAGCUGUCCUUCAAAAGCAGCUGAAGCAACAUGUCACCUGUGAGUCUGCUGGGGCCAUCUACUGCAUCAGGUGCAGCCUCCUCUACCUCGAUAAGACCAGAAGUAGAUUGGUGACCCACUUCAUCAAAAGGCCUGUCACAAAAGGCGAGAUUUCCCAAUGCCCACUGAUUUUAAUUCAGCUUCCCAUCCCAGCAUCAGCUGUAGUAUUUAUGAAUUGCAGAGUCUGAGCUGAGUGCCUCCCCUCUGCUCACUUUAACAAAGCGGACAUCUACGUCACGCUCAAGGGAUUUCAAGCAUCAUGUCAGCUUCACAACUCUUAAUGACUUCAACAAGUUCAGAAGUGAAUUAAGAAACUUCACGCAUGAAUUCUUUAGAGAAGUUCCAAGUUCAAUACUACAAGGCUUUUCUUUAAUAAAUUUGAGUAACAUAACUGACGUUGCUUUCAGAAACUCCUUUAGAAAUGAAACGUCCUGUGCUAUAUGACAGAAUUUCUACAGACACAAGAUAUACAAGAUGCUGUGAGAUUUUGGUACUGUGAGAUCCCUCCAUUGUGGGAUACGUUCUGAGCCACCACCGAGUCAAUUUCACUUUGACGAACUCCUCUGCAAGCUGCAUUUUUCAAUAUUCUUCCUCCUCACCAGAUAUGGGAAAAGCUCAAUGCCAGUCUUCAAUGGAAGCUGUACAAAUACUUAUCACUUGUUGCUAUUCUCUCUGGACAGAGUGGCCUUCAGGCAUUUCAUCUAUUUCUGAUGAUUCAUUGGCUUUAUAGCUCUUCUAGCAAACGUAUGGCAACAGCAAAAGCAGCCAUUACAGUCAAGGAGACAACUCAACAAAAUGCCCAAGGUUGAAGCCGCAUGUUGUUGGACUAAAGCAAAUUUUUGAUUCCUCAUCUGUCACAGAGUACCUCAGGUGCUGUAAGCAAACAUUAGAAUAUUAAGGCUCAUUGUUUCCCAAAUGACUAUCAUCAAUGCUCAAAGAAUGCAAACUAUGCCUCCACUUGCAAGUAUUUUCCUAAUGUGUCAAUAAACUUCCCAAUAUUUGACAAUU